AGCGAGCGGCGGAUGGGUGAGUAACACGCAGGGGAACCUGCCCCUAAGUCUGGGAUACCAUUUGGAAACAGGUGCUAAUACCGGAUAAUAAAGCAGAUCGCAUGAUCAGCUUUUGAAAGGCGGCGUAAGCUGUCGCUAAGGGAUGGCCCCGCGGUGCAUUAGCUAGUUGGUAAGGUAACGGCUUACCAAGGCGACGAUGCAUAGCCGAGUUGAGAGACUGAUCGGCCACAUUGGGACUGAGACACGGCCCAAACUCCUACGGGAGGCAGCAGUAGGGAAUCUUCCACAAUGGACGCAAGUCUGAUGGAGCAACACCGCGUGAGUGAAGAAGGUUUUCGGAUCGUAAAGCUCUGUUGUUGGUGAAGAAGGAUAGAGGUAGUAACUGGCCUUUAUUUGACGGUAAUCAACCAGAAAAGUCACGGCUAACUACGUGCCAAGCAGCCGCGGUAAUACGUAGGUGGCAAGCGUUGUCCGGAUUUAUUGGGCGUAAAGCGAAGCGCAGGCGGAAAAAUAAGUCUAAUGUGAAAGCCC
rnacentral:rRNA from 1 species